GCCAGUAUGGCAUAAUGGUUUGAGUGUUGGACUGCAACUCUGGAGAUCAGGGUUUGAUUCUCUGCUUGGCU